CCUACGGGAGACAGCAGUGAGGAAUAUUGGACAAUGGACGAGAGUCUGAACCAGCCAAGUAGCGUGAAGGAUGACUGCCCUAUGGGUUGUAAACUUCUUUUAUAUGGGAAUAAAACGUUCCACGUGUGGGAUUUUGUAUGUACCAUAUGAAUAAGGAUCGGCUAACUCCGUGCCAGCCGCCGCGGUAAUACGGAGGAACCGAGCGUUAUCCGGAUUUAUUGGGUUUAAAGGGAUGGUAGGUGGAUUGUUAAGGCAGUUGUUAAAGUUUGCGGCUCAAACGUAAACUUGCCGUUGAAACUGGCAGUCUUGAGUAGAGUAGAGGUGGGCGGAAUGCGUGGUGUAGCGGUGAAAUGCUUAGAUAUCACGAAGAACCCCGAUUGCGAAGGCAGUUCACCGGACUGCAACUGACACUGAGGCUCGAAAGUGUGGGUAUCAAACAGGAUUAGAUACCCGGGUAGUC
rnacentral:rRNA from 1 species